GUAAUGCCGGAUGCUCCGACUCCUCGCAUGGGGUGUCGGGAAAGAUUUCAUCGGUAUGGGAUGGGGUCGCGUCCUAUCAGGUAGUCGGCGGGGUAACGGCCCACCGAGCCUACGACGGGUAGCCGGCCUGAGAGGGCGACCGGCCACAUUGGGACUGAGAUACGGCCCAGACUCCUACGGGAGGCAGCAGUGGGGAAUAUUGCACAAUGGGCGCAAGCCUGAUGCAGCGACGCCGCGUGCGGGAUGACGGCCUUCGGGUUGUAAACCGCUUUUGAUCGGGAGCAAGCCUUCGGGUGAGUGUACCUUUCGAAUAAGCACCGGCUAACUACGUGCCAGCAGCCGCGGUAAUACGUAGGGUGCAAGCGUUAUCCGGAAUUAUUGGGCGUAAAGGGCUCGUAGGCGGUUCGUCGCGUCCGGUGUGAAAGUCCAUCGCUUAACGGUGGAUCUGCGCCGGGUACGGGCGGGCUGGAGUGCGGUAGGGGAGACUGGAAUUCCCGGUGUAACGGUGGAAUGUGUAGAUAUCG
rnacentral:rRNA from 1 species